rnacentral:rRNA from 1 species
GAUGAACGCUAGCGGCAGGCUUAAUACAUGCAAGUCAAGGGGGUAGCAAUACAACCGGCGCACGGGUGAGUAACGCGUACACAACAUACCAUAUACUGGAGUAUAGCUUUGGGAAACUGAAGGUAAUCCUCCAUAACAUUGCGAGAGGGCAUCUGAUUGCAAUUAAAGUUUCGGCGGUAUAUGAUUGGUGUGCGUUUGAUUAGCUAGUUGGUAGGGUAACGGCCUACCAAGGCGACGAUCAAUAAGCUGGCGUGAGAGCGCGACCAGCCACACUGGAACUAGAGACACGGUCCAGACUCCUACGGAGGCAGCAGUAGGGAAGUAAUUGGUACGAA